rnacentral:rRNA from 1 species
GAUGAACGCUGGCGGCGUGCUUAACACAUGCCAGUCGAACGGAAAGGCCCCUUUGGGGGUACUCGAGUGGCGAACGGGUGAGUAACACGUGAGUAACCUGCCCUUGACUUCGGGAUAACUUCAGGAAACUGGGGCUAAUACCGGAUAGGAAUCCUUGCUGCAUGGUGGGGGUUGGAAAGCUUCGGCGGUUUUGGAUGGACUCGCGGCUUAUCAGCUUGUUGGUGGGGUAGUGGCUUACCAAGGCUUUGACGGGUAGCCGGCCUGAGAGGGCGACCGGCCACAUUGGGACUGAGAUACGGCCCAGACUCCUACGGGAGGCAGCAGUGGGGAAUAUUGCACAAGGGGCGGAAGCCUGAUGCAGCAACGCCGCGUGCGGGAGGACGGCCUUCGGGUUGUAAACCGCUUUCAGCAGGGGCGAAGCUUGUGGUGACGGUACCUGCAGAAGAAGCACCGGCUAACUACGUG